UUUAUGGAGAGUUUGAUCCUGGCUCAGGAUGAACGCUGGCGGCGUGCCUAAUACAUGCAAGUCGAGCGAACGGACGAGAAGCUUGCUUCUCUGAUGUUAGCGGCGGACGGGUGAGUAACACGUGGAUAACCUACCUAUAAGACUGGGAUAACUUCGGGAAACCGGAGCUAAUACCGGAUAAUAUUUUGAACCGCAUGGUUCAAAAGUGAAAGACGGUCUUGCUGUCACUUAUAGAUGGAUCCGCGCUGCAUUAGCUAGUUGGUAAGGUAACGGCUUACCAAGGCAACGAUGCAUAGCCGACCUGAGAGGGUGAUCGGCCACACUGGAACUGAGACACGGUCCAGACUCCUACGGGAGGCAGCAGUAGGGAAUCUUCCGCAAUGGGCGAAAGCCUGACGGAGCAACGCCGCGUGAGUGAUGAAGGUCUUCGGAUCGUAAAACUCUGUUAUUAGGGAAGAACAUAUGUGUAAGUAACUGUGCACAUCUUGACGGUACCUAAUCAGAAAGCCACGGCUAACUACGUGCCAGCAGCCGCGGUAAUACGUAGGUGGCAAGCGUUAUCCGGAAUUAUUGGGCGUAAAGCGCGCGUAGGCGGUUUUUUAAGUCUGAUGUGAAAGCCCACGGCUCAACCGUGGAGGGUCAUUGGAAACUGGAAAACUUGAGUGCAGAAGAGGAAAGUGGAAUUCCAUGUGUAGCGGUGAAAUGCGCAGAGAUAUGGAGGAACACCAGUGGCGAAGGCGACUUUCUGGUCUGUAACUGACGCUGAUGUGCGAAAGCGUGGGGAUCAAACAGGAUUAGAUACCCUGGUAGUCCACGCCGUAAACGAUGAGUGCUAAGUGUUAGGGGGUUUCCGCCCCUUAGUGCUGCAGCUAACGCAUUAAGCACUCCGCCUGGGGAGUACGACCGCAAGGUUGAAACUCAAAGGAAUUGACGGGGACCCGCACAAGCGGUGGAGCAUGUGGUUUAAUUCGAAGCAACGCGAAGAACCUUACCAAAUCUUGACAUCCUUUGACAACUCUAGAGAUAGAGCCUUCCCCUUCGGGGGACAAAGUGACAGGUGGUGCAUGGUUGUCGUCAGCUCGUGUCGUGAGAUGUUGGGUUAAGUCCCGCAACGAGCGCAACCCUUAAGCUUAAUUGCCAUCAUUAAGUUGGGCACUCUAAGUUGACUGCCGGUGACAAACCGGAGGAAGGUGGGGAUGACGUCAA
rnacentral:rRNA from 1 species